CUCCCUUUCUUGUAAAUGGGAGUGAUGUUUCCAUUUUUCCUGUCCCCAGGAACUUCACCUCACAGCCAUGACUUUUCAGUUUUAGUCCUCUGUCAUACUUACUGCCUUCCACAAAAGGCAAUCACUUUACUGUCAAAAAUAUUCCUUUUAGACAAACCAUCCUUUACCUGCUGGAUGUGUCAGAGGCUGUCCCAUACAUCAAGGAAGAACUUCUGACACUGUCUCUGGGGUUCCUGAGCUUGAGAGGGCUCCACAUGACAAAAUCCCAACUACUACUUGAUAAGUCUAAGGAAAUGUCAUCAAUUUCACCCUAGGGGUUUAACUCUUCGUGAAGAUUGUGUUUGACUUCCUUUUGAUACAGCAUGAAAUUCUGUGAUGAAAGAGAUAAAAUGAUGAGAAUUGUUAAGUAACAAUCUCUGUUACACAAACUGUGUCCAUGAUACUUUCAUUUCAAAACUGCUUCACCCGCUUUGAGUAUGUUUCUUUUCAGAGCUUAUAACAUACAACACUGUAGUAGCAACAAUCUCCAGAAAAAGGGAGACAUGAAGAAAAGAUUGAGAGGUGAAAUAUGGAAUCUCGUUUUUAAUUUUCUGUAUUUGGUAAGAUAAAAAAAAGAUAUCAAGAAUACGAAGAACUAGAUAGACUAUUUUUGUCUGCUGUUUUUUGCUAAUGCAGUAAAGCUGUGAGAAUUUAGUUAUUUUUCUGAAAAGUAAAACUGAAGGGUUUUAGCACUUGAAGAUAAUUUCUGAUUAAUUUGAAGACUGCAAAUGGGAAAAGUGGGAAACACCAUACUUGGAAAUACUUAUUGCUCCAAGCAAAUAUUUUAAAUACUUAAGGAGCCUUUUUGACAGCUAAAGUGUAAAGAUGAAAGUAUAUUUUUAAUAGUUGAAGUGAAUGUUGUAUGUUAUACAUGGUCAAUAGCAGAACAGUAGAUACUUCUCGAUGGUUAGCAGACAUGCUGGGAAGCAAAUAACUGACCAUCUGGGCUAAUAGCAGAUAGAAAUGGAUUAGCUGUUUUUUGAAAAGCUGCACUGAUGGUUUAUGUUGACUUUAUAAACUGUGUAUUUGCCUUUGGCCUAAGGAAACAUGAGAACCUUGAACUUCAGGAAGAACUUUGCUGUUAGUUUAAUAUAUCAGAACAGAUGAGGACAAAAGGUAUGCUCCUACUUUUCUCCAAAAUUGUGCUCACAUUAAUCAGCUGCUAUUUAAGUUAAACUGCUUUAUUUCUCUCCCAUAAAUUGUUUUUUUUAGAAUUAGAUGGAUACUUCAUGGAAGACUUCAGUGAGAAUAAAGAACUGGCCAGGCAAACACCUCUGAAUGAUACCAUUUGCAUUUUCAAAUGCUAUUUUCAUUGCCAUAUAUCUCCAUCUUGACAUUACCCCCUUGUAGUUUACAGUGAAACUUUCUCAGGAUAUUCCCUUAUUAAGAUUUUGUUUUUUAUCUUGAGAAAGCACCCCAAACUCAAAGAAACCUAUCCCAGAGAAUACGAUCCCGAAACCUGAAUGUUACCAGUAAGCACCUAAUCUGUAGUAGCUCCUUAAAUGUCUGAAGAAUUCUUAAGAAUAUCUUAAGCAAAAAUAUGCCAUAUUAACUACAAAAUUGAAAGUACUCAAAGAAAAGUAAUGUUUAAUAAAUGGGAAAUGGAUAAAGAGUUAGCAACCCAAUAUAGAAUAAAAAUUCAAAAGAUAUAAAAUAUUAGGAAAAUAAGAUCAUUCUUUUGCUAUUGACAAAAGGAAGACAUUUUGCAGGCCUUUGUUAGUCUGACAUUCUGACAUUUUAAUUUUGUUUUUAGUUAUAAAGUAAAUGAAGAUAUUAUGAUUGUUACAAGGCUGUAAAUAUGAAAUCACUUCCUGAAACAUUUGUGGACAACACAGCCACUUUCCACCAUAUUUCAAAAAUCAUGACUGUCUGGUGAAGUCCCUGGUGACUGGAGAAAGGGAAACAUCACUCCCCUUUUUAAGAAAGGGAAAAAGGAAGACCUGGGGAACUACAGGCCAGUGAGCCUCACCUCUGUGCCUGGGAAGAUCAUGGAACAGAACCUCCAUGAAGGCACAUGGAAGAUGAGGAGGUGAUGCAAGACAGCCAGCACAGCUCCACCAAGAGUAGAUCAUGCCUGACCGAUCUUGUGGCCUUCUAUGGUAAACUGAAGGCAUUCGUGGACAAAAGAAUGGCAACUGAUGUUGUCUACCUGGACUCCUGUAAGGCCUUUGCCACGGUCCAGCACCACAUCCUUAUCUCAGAAUUGGAGAUACAUGGAUUUGAAGACUGGGCUAUUAGAUGGAUAAAGAACUGGUUGGAUGAUCAUAGCCACAGUGGAACAGUGUGAUUUUUGUUUCCACAUCUCAUUCAGACUUCUCACUUAAUGCCACAACAAACCUUGUCAUCAUUUACAAGUUUACAUUUCUUAUUUUCUUUUCAUUAUGUCCUUCAAGAACAAAAAGAUUAUUUCUGCAUUUUGCACUCUUUACUGUACACAAGGACAGAUGUUAUGCCUGUAGAGAUCUUAAAGCAACAAAUUUGGACUGGAAAAUAAUUUUGAUUUUUUGAGGAUUUGGGACUGGACUAUUGUAUUACUCUUUUCCAGACACUGUUCCACUGUCUUCUUAUUUUGCUGGUCCCACAGCCAUGGUGGGAAGCAAAUGCUCCCUGGUGGUAGAUGCAGUGGAGAGGCAGAGCUGGAACCACUCUUUCUAUUUUUCAAGACAAGCAACACUUGGAUGCAUCCUUCUUUUUAUACAUAGACAUAAAUGUCAAUCCUCUAAGGUAUGAAUUUAAACCAAAAUCAUCACACUGCUUGUUUUUGAGACAACAGCGAGAAUAAUGUUUAAUUCUCCCUAAAAAUCUUUUAGGCUGGGCCCCUGAGAGCAGUGGCAGCAUUGGAAAAAAAGCAUAUAGCUAGAAUAUAUGUCACCCAUAGUGGCACUCAGCAGUGAGCUAAAGCAGCUAUGUAUAUCUGCAGCCUAGCUAGAGGAUAUGAAUUCAGAUUAGAUCAGGAGCCAAAAUUCUUCCUUCCAGGGAGAACUCAGGCAAGCAGCAGACUUCAGUGGAAACUGGAGGAGUUCAAUAACUAUGUAAUGGUGAUCACCAGCAUUGUCAACCUUGGCUAUACAUGAUUUGAAAAAGGAGAUCUUUCAUUAACUGCACAGGAGGCUGUCACUAUGGCAGAUACAUAUCAUACUCUGUUAAAUAGAAUCUGUCAAGUCUUGUGUCGCAAAUUAUGAUAUCUUCUUAAAACCCUAUUUGCAAGCAGUCAGCUGGCAAGAGCAUUGUACACUGGCCCAUCUUUUACCACAGUAACAGGAUCAUCCACAGAAGAAGAUGUUUUGGCCCUGUAGUGAAAGAAGCAAUGACCUCAUACAAAGAAAGCCUCUAUCUGACCUGGGAUUUUAACAGUGGGAUAGAGGAAAGAAAAUAUUCCUCUGGAACCAACCAGAAAUGAUAGACAUCUGCUACUUCUAUGUUCAGCUCAAACUCUGGAGCAGAUCUGAGUACACCUCAGAAAUGCUGGUGAAGGAAUACAAGGAAAGAGGUUCUGAAAGUUAUUAUAGAGAGGACUUCAAUCUGCCUAACAAGAGGAUUGUCAGGACUAGCUGCCUUCUGGACCAGCUCUACAGAUCACCAGCUUUAGCAUCUUUCUGAUACCACCAAUUACUGCCCAUCUGAAAAAUCAUAAUGGCAAGGCCAUUAAAUUUUUAAAGUGGCAGUUUUAAUCUGGAGUUUCCAUUAUAAGAAAUGUUUUCAGUACAAUUGGUUUCUGGCUUCAAGAUAAUCGAUAAUUUUUCAUUAUAAAAUUGGAAAGUUAUAUCUCCUAUUUUCCUUGUUUAUGACAGAAGAAUCAGGCUUUCUUGUAAACUAAGUAUUCACUUUCUUUUCUCUGUCUCUCAAAGCAAUUAGCCAUUAGAAUAACUUUACUUGGAAUAUAACUUCUCAAUUCUUCUAACUGUAAAAGUUAUCAUCCCUGCUUUUCUCAAGGUUAGCCUCUAGUCUGAACAAGAAAUAAUAGUUACAAAAACCUGUUGUUACCUAAUCAAGAGUGAUUUUUUUAAAAGAAACCUUUAACCCCUGAACAUUUUGAUUUUCUUUUCUGAGGUAAUUACCAUUACUAUGUGUACAGAAUGAGUUUCUGAGAGCUCAGAUGUCCACAAUGUCUCGGCCAUUUCUGCAGUACAAAAUCAGAUCACAGAAUCAUAGGCAUUGGAAGGGACCUCCAGAGAUCUAAUUCAACCAGGUUCCCUACAGUAGACUGCACAAGAAAGUGUACAGCCUCUUGUGAUAAUAAACUCAUCACAUGCAGGAACGGUGAGGGGCUGAAGAAUGAGUAGGGCCUUCAGAGAAGUUAUACACUGAGCUCCUGAGUCUCCAGACAUGGCCACUGUUGUUCACCACAACGACCACUGUUCAGAGAAGAGCAGGGAACAAAGUCAUUUCCACCACUGAGAGAACAGCAAGAGGACAAGUCAU